CCUUGUACACACCGCCCCGUCAAGCCAUGGGAGUGGGUUAUACCAGAAGUAGGUAGACUAACCGCAAGGGGGUCGCUUACCACGGUAUGAUUCAGUGACGUGGGGCU
rnacentral:rRNA from 1 species